ensembl:lncRNA
GGGGGGGGGCAUUUUGCCUUGGCCCCCAAAAUGUCUUGAAACGGCCCUGGGUGUGUGACUGAGUUUUGAAGGUGAUCUGAAUUGUAUCAGAUGUAUAAAUAUAACAUGUGUAUAACUUAUUGUUUUUUACUGGUAAAAACGUGUCGUGGAGAUAAAUCUUCCUACAUUUUACCUUUCAACACUUUGUUUUGUUUUCUUGUUUUUAUUGAACUAUUUUCCUGUCCUGUCUGUCUCUCAUCUUCCUGUAUCUCUUCUAAGCUCUCCAGAAAAACUGCUGCCUGGAUUCUUACUUUUUCACCUCAUCAGUUACUUUUGAGCCGAUCAAAGGGAUCUCCUGACCGCAAAGCAGAGUGCGCAUUUCGAUGCGUCAGUGAGGUGAAAUCACCUCAGCACAGGUGAUGAGCUCCGCAGUGGCAGAGCGCUUCAGGCACAAAUAAGACAGAAAAUAGAGAACAUGUGCGGACAUGAACGAUCGUUUGCCAAUUAUAGUAUUUUGGUUGCGCCACUUUGAGAAUGGACCGUGCGCUGGAAGCAGCAGCCUGGAGCACUGUGCAACAAUGCGCUGUGCAGCUCUCUGUGCUCUCUGCUCAAAAGAUUCCAAAAAUGAUAUAAUAUAGGUAGAAAACUUUUUUCCGGCUCCCCCUGGAUGUGUAGAAUAUACAGCUCCCCCAUAAUUCGAUCCCUUGUCCUGGAUGAAAAGCUGGACAUCAAUACAAGAACCCCAGUCCGGACGCCCGGGCAGAGAGUGAAAAGUGGACAUGUCCGGGGAAAACAGGACGGUCACCCUAGUUUAAUAAAAGCGGGAAAUUACAGAUAGGCCUCCAGUAUUUUGCUCGUGCCCUUGCUGUUUUGGGCCCUUUAGAGUUCGUGGGCCCUGGGCAAUUGCCCAGUUGCCCAUAUGGUUAAUCUGGCCUUGCCUGAGGGGGCAAUCGCGAGCAUAAAAAUUCAAAACUCCGUAAAGUCCCUUUAAAUAAAUGUGCUGAUUUUAUUGAAAAACUUGUUCUGUAAUAGUUCCUUUACUAUUGUGAUCAAAAACAUUUAAUCUCAACUCUGAGGCUGCUCUGUAAAUAGUUUUCAAAUAAACAAUACACAUAGCAUCUUCUGAUCAAGAGAUGUCAAUUUCAGAUUUAAAAUAAUGUAUUGAUGUAAAACCACACCCACUUCCGGUUUAAUCACACCCACUUCUGGGUUAUGCCACACCCACUCCGAGUACAGAUACAUCCAUCCAUCCAUUUUCAUCUGCUUAUCCGGAGUCAGGUCGCGGGGGCAGUAGCCUAAGGCGAGAGGCCUAGACUUCCCUCUCCCCAGCCACUUGGGCCAGCUCCUCUGGGGGAAUCCCAAGGCGUUCCCUGGCCAGGUGAGAGACAUAGUCCCUCCACCUUUUCCUGGAUCUACCUUUAGGCCUCCUCCCAGUUGGAAGUGCCCGGAAAACCUCACCAGGGAGGCGUCCAGGAGUCAUCCUGACCAGAUGCCCGAGCCACCUCAACUGGCUCCUCUCGAUGUGGAGGAGCAGCAAAUCUACUCCGAACCCCUCCCGGAUGGCCAAGCUUCUCACCCUAUCUCUAAGGGAGAGC